CCCCCGUGGCCCCGCCCCCGCCCCGGCCGCGGGCCCGGAGCCGCUGCAGACCCGGUGCCCCGCGCACCUGGCGGGGAGAAAGUUCGGGGUCCGCGAACACGCCGUGACCUUGAGACGGCGGCUCCCUGUCCCCGCGCCCGCCCCGCGGGGCGGCCAGGAGGGGGCGCUCGGGCGCAAGGGUCGGGGUCGGGGACCCGCCCUUGCCGUCCCACCGGUCUGCGGCGCCUCGGAGCCGGAGCCCGACCCGGACCGAGGCCCCAGGCCCCGUUUUGCGGGCCGGGCCGGGAAUUCGGGGGCGUCUGGCCGCUGUGGGCUCGGCGACUUCCAGACGCGCUCGAGCUGCGCCCGCCCGCCCGCUCGCUCCUGCAGAAGGCCCGGAAGUCCGCCCGGAGCCCUGCCCGCCGGCCUGUUUCCCGGGUUCUCGGACGGAGCCGGCCCGGCCCUGGCAGUUGUUUUGCCCUCGCUGAAGACCGGUGGCGUCGCCGAGGCUGAGCGCCCGCCCUUCCCGGUCCCCCGGCCCCACCACACCUGGCCAGCGCCACCCUGACUCCGGGCUGCGGCGUCGCCCUCGUCUGCGGACGGAGCCGCGCGCGCGCGGCCUCCUGACUUUCCGGCACGGCUUCGUGGGGAAGCCAGACGGCGCUCCGAAGGACAGCCGCGCAGGCCGCGCCUCCGGUGGCGGGGAACGACGGGAGUAAACCCUGCGUUCGGCCUGAUGCCCCCACUCUUCCUCCUCCGACCGAACUUUGGUGCCGUGGACCCCGCGACAUCCGGCUCCUGCACCACGGUCACGAGAAGCAGCACGUUUUAAUUCUAAAGCCUCGGGCUUUCCUUCCUAAGCGAGUUGUUCCAAAACAUCGCAUUUUCCGGAUUCCGAGUGACAAGGGACAGUAAGGCAGAGAAGGUGCGGAUCGUCCCUGCAACGCUAACUACAAGGCCUGGGAGGGCUGCGCUCCAGCUCGCAGACAGCGGAGAGCUCACGUUCCUCCCUCGCUCCCCACCUCCGUCCCUGUUAGCUUCUCCGAUUAGGACCGCAGCGCAGGUCUGGGCCCACACAGGUGAGGACGUGUGCGAAGCUGAUUGCUGGUUGGAACCGAGUCCCUGGCUCUGUUGAGCGAAUGAGCUUGCCCCGCCCACACACGUGAACUUGUCCGUCCUCCUGGAGGAAGAAAGAUUCCCGAAGCAAAGUACCGAGUAGCAGAACGAGGGACGGGGUGUUGGCCUCCCCCUGUUUCCCCGUGGAAGAAGGGAUGCAUGCCUGCUGCGAAUCUGGGGGUUCGCGUUCCGCAGAGAAGAGCAGAAGUGUAGAAGUGCUUUGAAGUGAUCGCUCGCUGGGUGCACACUUUGAUUGGUCUGAGGGCGACAGUUCGGCCUCUUCCCUGGCUCUUCAAAAUCUUUAUUUCAGGGCCUGCUUACUUCCAAAGUGCGGCUGCUCAUCAGAGCCACCUAAGGAGCUCCCAGGGCAGCCGAGGCCCCAGCCCCCGAUCUUCUCUCCAGGACAGAAACUCAUUCUGUCUGUUCUGGUGGGGCAUGCGUGAUCACUAGUAAAGCAGUUGCUAAUGAAAACUGGGCUUUCCCCUGUGGCCCCCAUCUGCACAGACUGCUGUCUUCUGACUGGACAGGUUGUAGAGGUCAGGCCUCCCAGCCUCGGCCUUCCUGCCCUGAGGCCUCCAACACCUGAACUCAGCAGCACGACGUUCACCUCCUUCCACCAGGAAGAACCCCAGCUUCCUCUUCCGGUUUUGGAACCUCAGGCUCCACAGGCUCCACACCCUCAGCCACUUCUUCUUACUGCG
ensembl:lncRNA